CGCGUGGUUCUAUUUUGUUGGUUUUUAGAACCGCCGUAAUGAUUAAUAGGGACAGUCGGGGGCAUCUGUAUUCAAUUGUCAGAGGUGAAAUUCUUGGAUCUAUUGAAGACAAACUACUGCGAAAGCAUUUGCCAAGGAUGUUUUCAUUGAUAAGGAACGAAAGUUAGGGGAUCGAAGACGAUCAGAUACCGUCGUAGUCUUAACUAUAAACUAUGCCGACUAGGGAUCGGACGAUGUUAUUUUUUGACUCGUUCGGCACCUUUCGAGAAAUCAAAGUGCUUGGGCUCCAGGGGGAGUAUGGUCGCAAGGCUGAAACUUAAAGAAAUUGACGGAAGGGCACCACCAGGGGUGGAACCUGCGACUUAAUUUGACUCAACACGGGGAAACUCACCAGGUCCAGACACAGUGAGGAUUGACAGAUUGAUAGCUCUUUCUUGAUUCUGUGGGUGGUGGUGCAUGGCCGUUCUUAGUUGGUGGAGUGAUUUGUCUGCUUAAUUGCGAUAACGAACGAGACCUUAACCUGCUAAAUAGCCCGUUCUGCUCCGGCAGUACGCUGGCUUCUUAGAGGGACUAUCGGCUCAAGCCGAUGGAAGUUUGAGGCAAUAACAGGUCUGUGAUGCCCUUAGAUGUCCUGGGCCGCACGCGCGUUACACUGACAAAGCCAGCGAGUAUUUCCUUAGCCGGAAGGCUUGCGUAUCUGUUAAACUUUGUCGUGC
rnacentral:rRNA from 1 species